rnacentral:tRNA from 1 species
CGACCGCUGGUGGGUGGUGGUUGUGCCCGGCCGACGGCUUGUAGCUGACGACGGCCGCGGGCGCUCGAUGCGCCCGCGGCCGG